AUUGAACGCUGGCGGAAUGCUUUACACAUGCAAGUCGAACGGCAGCACGGACUUCGGUCUGGUGGCGAGUGGCGAACGGGUGAGUAAUGUAUCGGAACGUGCCCAGUCGUGGGGGAUAACGUAGUGAAAAUUACGCUAAUACCGCAUACGAUCUAUGAAGGAAAGCGGGGGCUCGCAAGACCUCGCGCGAUUGGAGCGGCCGAUAUCAGAGUAGGUAGUUGGUGGGGUAAAGGCCCACCAAGCCAACGAUCUGUAGCUGGUCUGAGAGGACGACCAGCCACACUGGAACUGAGACACGGUCCAGACUCCUACGGGAGGCAGCAGUGGGGAAUUUUGGACAAUGGGCGAAAGCCUGAUCCAGCCAUUCCGCGUGCAGGAUGAAGGCCCUCGGGUUGUAAACUGCUUUUGUACAGAACGAAAAGGUUUCUACUAAUACUAGGAGCUCAUGACGGUACUGUAAGAAUAAGCACCGGCUAACUACGUGCCAGCAGCCGCCGUAA
rnacentral:rRNA from 1 species